rnacentral:rRNA from 1 species
UUUUUAAAGGAAGAAGAAAGUGACGGUACUUUAAGAAUAAGCAUCGGCUAACUCCGUGCCAGCAGCCGCGGUAAUACGGAGGAUGCAAGCGUUAUCCGGAAUCAUUGGGCGUAAAGCGUCCGCAGGUGGCUGUUCAAGUCUGCUGUUAAAGACAGAAGCUCAACUUCUGAGAAGCAGUGGAAACUGGACAGCUAGAGUACGGUAGGGGUUGAGGGAAUUCCCAGUGUAGCGGUGAAAUGCGUAGAUAUUGGGAAGAACACCAGUGGCGAAGGCGCUCAACUGGGCCGUAACUGACACUCAGGGACGAAAGCUAGGGUAGCGAAAGGGAUUAGAUACCCCUGUAGUC